GCGGUGGUGGCGGAACUGGUAGACGCACCAGCUUGAGGGGCUGGCGGGGGCAACUCCGUGAUGGUUCGAUUCCAUUCCACCGCACCA
rnacentral:tRNA from 5 species